rnacentral:rRNA from 1 species
CCUACGGGACGCAGCAGUGGGGAAUAUUGCACAAUGGGCGCAAGCCUGAUGCAGCCAUGCCGCGUGUAUGAAGAAGGCCUUCGGGUUGUAAAGUACUUUCAGCGGGGAGGAAGGCGAUAAGGUUAAUAACCUUGUCGAUUGACGUUACCCGCAGAAGAAGCACCGGCUUACUCCGUGCCAGCAGCCGCGGUAAUACGGAGGGUGCAAGCGUUAAUCGGAAUUACUGGGCGUAAAGCGCACGCAGGCGGUCUGUCAAGUCGGAUGUGAAAUCCCCGGGCUCAACCUGGGAACUGCAUUCGAAACUGGCAGGCUAGAGUCUUGUAGAGGGGGGCAGAAUUCCAGGUGUAGCGGUGAAAUGCGUAGAGAUCUGGAGGAAUACCGGUGGCGAAGGCGGCCCCCCGGACAAAGACUGACGCUCAGGUGCGAAAGCGUGGGGUGCAAACAGGAUUAGAUACCCCCGUAGUC